GGACCCGCACAAGCGGUGGAGCAUGUGGUUUAAUUCGAUGCAACGCGAAGAACCUUACCUGGCCUUGACAUCUGUCGAAUCCUGCAGAGAUGCGGGAGUGCCUUCGGGAACGACAAGACAGGUGCUGCAUGGCUGUCGUCAGCUCGUGUCGUGAGAUGUUGGGUUAAGUCCCGCAACGAGCGCAACCCUUGUCCUUAGUUGCCAUCAUUCAGUUGGGAACUCUAAGGAGACCGCCGGUGACAAACCGGAGGAAGGUGGGGAUGACGUCAAGUCAUCAUGGCCUUUAUGGCCAGGGCUACACACGUGCUACAAUGGCAGGUACAGAGGGAAGCCAACUCGCGAGAGGGAGCCAAUCCCAGAAAGCCUGUCGUAGUCCGGAUCGGAGUCUGCAACUCGACUCUGUGAAGUCGGAAUCGCUAGUAAUCGCAGAUCAGCAUUGCUGCGGUGAAUACGUUCCCGGGUCUU
rnacentral:rRNA from 1 species